GCCGGUGUGUUGGAACUGGCAGACGAGACGGACUCAAAAUCCGUUGGUGGCAACACCGUGUGGGUUCGAGCCCCACCACCGGCA
rnacentral:tRNA from 1 species